GAGGGCAUAGCUCAUUGGUAGACCAUUUGACUGCGGAUCAAGAGGUCCCUGUUUCAAAUAAAGGUGCUCCCU
rnacentral:tRNA from 1 species